AUUGAACGCUGGCGGCAGGCCUAACACAUGCAAGUCGAACGGUAGCACAGAGAGCUUGCUCUCGGGUGACGAGUGGCGGACGGGUGAGUAAUGUCUGGGAAACUGCCCGAUGGAGGGGGAUAACUACUGGAAACGGUAGCUAAUACCGCAUAAUGUCGCAAGACCAAGGAGGGGGACCUUCGGGCCUCUUGCCAUCGGAUGUGCCCAGAUGGGAUUAGCUAGUUGGUGAGGUAAUGGCUCACCAAGGCGACGAUCCCUAGCUGGUCUGAGAGGAUGACCAGCCACACUGGAACUGAGACACGGUCCAGACUCCUACGGGAGGCAGCAGUGGGGAAUAUUGCACAAUGGGCGCAAGCCUGAUGCAGCCAUGCCGCGUGUAUGAAGAAGGCCUUCGGGUUGUAAAGUACUUUCAGCGGGGAGGAAGGCGAUACGGUUAAUAACCGUAUUGAUUGACGUUACCCGCAGAAGAAGCACCGGCUAACUCCGUG
rnacentral:rRNA from 1 species